UUCCUGGAGGAUGAGUGGUUAGGCCUCGGUACUCUAACCACCGUUGCCUGGGUUCGAUUCCCAGCCAGGGAA